ACCAUAUUUCAUUUUAGUUUUUUUGUUUCAAUCGUUUGCCAAUCAUAAUGAUUUAAUUUACUAUACUUAUCGAUAUUUCAUCUCUAUUUCCACAUUUACCAUAACGUUAUCAUGCUGUUAUAUCAUCUAUUGAGGAAAAUAUUAUUUUUUCGAAUAAAAAGUUAGAAACUAGAGUUGUUGUUUGAAAAUCGAUAUAGAUUUACGAUAAACGGAAGACUAAUGC